rnacentral:rRNA from 2 species
UGCAGCAACGCCGCGUGAGGGAUGACGGCCUUCGGGUUGUAAACCUCUUUUAGUAGGGAAGAAGCGAAAGUGACGGUACCUGCAGAAAAAGCACCGGCUAACUACGUGCCAGCAGCCGCGGUAAUACGUAGGGUGCAAGCGUUGUCCGGAAUUAUUGGGCGUAAAGAGCUCGUAGGCGGUUUGUCGCGUCUGCUGUGAAAUCUGGGGGCUCAACCCCCAGCCUGCAGUGGGUACGGGCAGACUAGAGUGCGGUAGGGGAGAUUGGAAUUCCUGGUGUAGCGGUGGAAUGCGCAGAUAUCAGGAGGAACACCGAUGGCGAAGGCAGAUCUCUGGGCCGUAACUGACGCUGAGGAGCGAAAGCAUGGGGAGCGAACAGGAUUAGAUACCCUGGUAGUCCAUGCCGUAAACGUUGGGAACUAGAUGUGGGGGCCAUUCCACGGUCUCCGUGUCGCAGCUAACGCAUUAAGUUCCCCGCCUGGGGAGUACGGCCGCAAGGCUAAAACUCAAAGGAAUUGACGGGGGCCCGCACAAGCGGCGGAGCAUGCGGAUUAAUUCGAUGCAACGCGAAGAACCUUACCAAGGCUUGACAUAUACCGGAAACGUCCAGAGAUGGUCGCCCCGCAAGGUCGG